rnacentral:rRNA from 1 species
GACCCCAGGUCAGUGGUACAAGCAUG